rfam:Oryza glumipatula chromosome 8, whole genome shotgun sequence.
AAAAAGAUAAACCCUGGGUUUUCGUGUCUAACAUUUGAUUGUCCGUCUUAUAUGAAAAUUUUUUAUAAUUAGUAUUUUCAUUGUUGUUAGAUGAUAAAACAUGAUUAAUACUUUAUGCGUGACUUUUCAUUUUAAUUUUUUUAAUAAUUUUUUUAAAUAAGACAGACGGUCAAACGUUGGACACGGAAACUCAGGGUUUGUCUCUUU